rnacentral:tRNA from 1 species
GGGCCUGUAGCUCAAUGGUAGAGCAGCAUCCUCUUAAGAUGACGGUUGAUGGUUCGAAUCCAUCCAGGCUCA